rnacentral:lncRNA from 1 species
UUCCCCAUAGGAAUGAUCCAUUUUCAAGUGAAUAUCGGGAAGACCCCAGCAGUGGCUUUUGCUGGACUAAGUAGUCAGAACGCUGGUGUUAUCACGAUCGCAGACACUGUGUUCGGGUCAACGCCCCCGAUUAAUCCAGAUAUUCUCGCUCAGGCGUUUCAGUUAGAUGUCAAUGUUGUCAAGGAUCUUGAAGCCAAGUUUAAAAACUAAAUCUAGUCACCAACAAUACGAGUGUUUAUCGUUUUAAUUCUUAAGUAAUGAUGUAUCACGAAUUAAAGGUUUAUGCUUAAUAAAAUAAAAAGGUGUUUAUUACCUGAUUUGAUAUUUAAUAUUAAAUUUCUUUUUCUUAUAUAUAACUCUGUCUUACAACUUUUUAAAUGUUGGGGUAUUAAAAUUUUCUUGGAUAUUCAAUAAGUCUUUAAGAGUUGUUAGAAUGAUUAAAAAAAAAAAAUGUACAAGCCAUCAGAUUAUAUAUAGAUAGGGUAAUUAUCAAAAAUAACACGCUUAACUUUUUGUUUUCUAUAAAUACCACUUAAGUUUUUGUAUUUCAAAAAUACCACUUAAAUUUUGUUUUUUCAAAAAUACCAUAAAAUAACUAAAAUUUAACUUUCAAAAUUCAAAAUUAAAACUUAAACAUUAAACCCUACACUUUUAAAAUUAUACUAUUUUUGGAAUACAACCACUUUCGUCGGUAUUUUUGAAACAUCAAACUAAUAGUUAUAUUUUCUGAAACAAAACUUGAAGGUAUGGUAUUUUUAAGAAUUGCAAGGUAUAAUAGGAUGUAAAGAUAAACCAUGCAAUUGAUACAAAUUGGAUGUAAAUAAAUUAUAAGAUAGAAGCAUGAGUUUUAUAAAGUGUGUCUUGUUGGAAAAAUAUACACACUAAUAAUAAUAGUUGAUUUUUCAAUCAUCAGUUUUCUAUUUUCGUUGAUUUAAAGCAUGAACUCUGCACAUGAUGAUUAAAAUGCUUAAUUUUAUGUUGAUUUUCAAUUUAAUCAUGAAUUUUCGUUGACAAAAGCCAAUUAAAGCACAAAAUCGAAAUCGAAAAAAAAAUCUUGAUGAGAAACUAAGAUUAAAUCGGGAUUUGUGAAAAAAUCCAGAAGAUUAAAGAGGAAAUCGAGAGAAUUUUUAAUUUGAAAAUUCUAAUUUUGAUAUCAAUUUUCUUAUUUCGAUACCGAUAUUGUGCCUCAAUUGGCUUUGUCAACGAAAAUUCGUGAUUAAAUUGAAAGUCAACAUAAAAUUAAGCAUUUUAAUCACCAGGUACAGAAUUCAUGCUUUAAAUCAACGAAAUUGAACAACUUAUGAUUUAAAUGACAUUUUUCCCAUUGAUUUUUAUGUGACCUUCUCACAGACAAGAUGGAAAUUUGGUCCUUGAUUUUGUCCUUGUUUCACUGGUUCAAGACUAAGAUUUAUACCAACAAUAUUCGCUUAAUUUGAUAUUUUACUAUUAACAUUACUUUAGGUACAUUGAAUUACCCUUUUUUACCCAACAAACAAUAUUGAAUUAGUCUUUACAUUUUAUUUUUUUUGUCAAACAGUCUUUACAUUUUAUAAGUUAAAUCUAUUCCAAAAGACCAAGGAAAUUCGAAAAUAACCAACACUGUACACGUAAAAAAGAAAUAUAUUUUCUAGAUAUAGCAGUCAAUCUAAAAUAAACGCAAACGUUUACAUAGAAGACUUGUUCGUGUUUGUUGUGAUUUUUAAUAUCAAGGCUAAUUAAGCAAGUCUUCCAGUAAACGUAAACUUGACGUAGUCAUAAAUACCUUACAUAAAGUAUGCUCUAAUUUUACCUACGUCAUAACAGAUUUGCAAAAGAUGUUGUAUCUCUCUCUAUCUAAGAGAUAUCUAGAAGACAAAGAUAUAAAUAUCUGACAUAAAUCUGCUAAAAUAUCUUUUAUAUAAGAUUAAUUUCUUUUUUUUCAGAAAAUAAAAUAUUUGUUUGGCUUCAUGUAUAUAAUGUUUGGAUGGCGGUUUUGUAGAUACUGACAAGUUGACUAAUAAUAAUUUUAGUUAUUGUCAAAAUAAAAAGUUAUUAGAAAAUAGUGAAAAACAAGACAUCUUUUAAUUUUUUUGUCAUGAAGUUCGAACCUAGACUCUAGUAUUCGUGGAUCCAAAAAUAGUCUUUAGUCUAUCUUUCGGAAAUAUUCCUUUUCGCAAGUGAACUCAUACUAGGAUUCUUUUCUCUUACGGAAACCACUAGAUCAAGAACCAACCAGUUUGGUGCCUUUAUAACGAUGGCAUAACGGCUGCAAAUUAUCGUACUUUGUCACCAUUCACAUAUACUAGUGUAGGCGAUCGAACACCCUAGAUUUACUAUGUUUGAGAUGUUUCUAUUAGGAAUGUGGCCUAAUUUAAUUCAAAUGCUAGCUCAAGAGUUAAGGAUUGCUACAUCCUAUAUAUAUUGCCCAAAUAUCUUAAUCCCAAGCAAUGUGGGACAUUCUAAUAGGCCUCCUCGAGAUGUGGGUAGGAAACGGUCCAACGGAAAACAGCCCAAGCCCAACAUCUCGGAAAUACAACAAGACAUGCCACUUAUAUGGGCCACAUAGGUGGAAAAACAUUUUGCUUAGAUUAAGAUCUUUGGGUAGUAUAUAAAGGAUGUGACAAUCCUUAACUCUUGAGCUAGCUUUUAGGUUAAGUUAGGUUAUAUUCCUAAUAGUUUCACUUUCACUCAUAGCACAAAAGAUAAUUUUCGUUUCACUACUAAAAGAAAAAAUUUAACUUUUUUUUAGAACUAUCGUACAUUGACAAGUUUUAUUUAACUAAACAAUUCUUGUCGAAAAAACCUUGUUUAUUACUCAAAGUACUAAAAAAACUAGCACAUGUUUGUUAGUCAUUAUGAAUCAAUAGAAGCUUAACAAGCCUAUAUAUUUAGUAGUAUUAUUGAGAUCCAUGUCAGCCAUUCCAUGUUAACUUUUUGAAUGUAACUAUGAGUUCUCUGAUUUGGGAAAAAUACGGCUUCUAAGCCUUGUUAAUUAAACUACCAUUUGUUGCAGUGGAAAUAGUCGUGUCUCGUAUGUAGGAAACUUCUUGACUCUAGAAGUUGAUUUAAAGAUAACACUAUUAUAAAUCAAUAUAAGCUAUGGCUAUGGUUUUGACUUUUGCGUAUGAAGUCAUGCAUGCAAAUCCAAUUUUAAAUUAAAGAUAUAUAGAUUAAGUUAUCGAUAGACUUGUUAAACGUUUUUGAACUGCCACUUUGAAACAUGCGAAUUACAAAUUUAUAGAAAUAUCUUUGGACCACGUCAAAUAUGACAUGCGCUUUUGUCCUAUAAAUACUGAGCUCAAAUGCUUCACAAUUCACAACCAACACACACAAUUAUAAAAGUCUUUUAAAAGCAUUAGCAUAACCUUUUCUUUGAAAAUGAGGGUUCCCAUGUCUCUCGUCUUGAUUACCAUAUCAGCUUUGGUCAUUUCCUUUGCCGAAGCUUCUGAUCCAAGUCCACUUCAAGACUUCUGCGUGGCCAUUGGUGACCUCAAAAAUGGUGGUAAGUAUAAAACUCAAAUUCUUGAACUCUCAACUAAUUAUUAUUCUCCUUUAUUAUUUUGUAAGUUCGAUUCUCUUCAACUAAAUUAUUACUCUCAAUAUUUGUACUUGCAGUUUUUGUGAAUGGUAAGUUCUGUAAGGAUCCGAAGCAAGCGAAGGCAGAAGAUUUCUUCUUUGCAGGCCUCAACAAGGCAGGAAACACUACCAAUAGAGUCAAAUCCAACGUGACAACGGUCAAUGUCGACCAGAUUCCCGGGUUAAACACAUUGGGAAUAUCCUUGGUCCGCAUAGACUAUGCGCCUUAUGGACAAAACCCGCCUCACACGCACCCUCGUGCCACUGAGAUCCUUGUUCUUGUCGAGGGAACAUUAUAUGUAGGUUUUGUCUCUUCCAAUCAAGACAAUAACCGUUUAUUCGCCAAAGUGCUGAACCCCGGCGACGUGUUCGUGUUCCCCAUUGGAAUGAUCCAUUUCCAAGUGAAUAUCGGGAAGACCCCCGCAGUGGCCUUUGCUGGACUAAGUAGUCAGAACGCUGGUGUUAUCAUGAUCGCAGACACUGUGUUCGGGUCAACGCCCCCAAUUAAUCCAGAUAUUCUCGCUCAGGCAUUUCAGCUAGAUGUCAACGUUGUCAAGGAUCUUGAAGCCAAGUUUAAAAACUAAAUCUAGUCACCAACAAUACGAGUAUUUAUUGUUUUAACACUUAAUGAUGUAUCACGAAUUAAAGGUUUAUGCUUAAUAAAAUAAAAAGGUGUUUAUUACCUGAUUUGAUAUUUAAUAUUAAAUUUCCCUUUCCUAUAUAUAACUCUGUCUUACAACUUUUUAAAUGUUGGGGUAUUAAAAUUUUCUUGGAUAUUCAAUAAGUCUUUAAGAGUUGUUAGAAUGAUAAAAAAAAAAAAAUGUACAAGCCAUCAGAUUAUAUAUAGAUAGGGUAAUUAUCAAAAAUAACACACUUAACUUUUUGUUUUCUAUAAAUACCACUUAAGUUUUGGUUUUUCAAAAAUACCACUUACAUUUUACUUUUUCAAAAAUACCAUAAAAUUAACUAAAAUUUAAGUUUCAACUUUCAAAAUAAAAACUUAAACAUUAAGCCCUACACUUUAAAAAUUAUACUAUUUUUGGAAUACCAACACUUUCGUUGGUAUUUUUGGAACAUCAAAUUGAUAGUUAUAUUUUAUGAAACAAAACUUGAAAGUAUGGUAUUUUUAAGAAUUUCAAGUUAUAAUAGGAUGUAAAGAUAAAUCAUGCAAUUGAUACAAAUUGGAUGUACAUAAAUCAAAGUAUCAUUUUGAUAGAGGCUUGAGUGUUAUAAAGCGUGUCUUGUUGGAAAAAUAUAUACACAAAUUAUAAUAGUUGAUUUUUAUGUGACCUUCUCACAGACAUGAUGGAAAUUUGGUCCUUGAUUUUGUCCUUGUUGCACUGGUUCAAGUCAAGACUAAGAUAUAUACCAACUAUAUUUGCUUAAUUUGAUAUUUUACUAUUAACAUUACUUUUGGUACAUUGAAUUACCGUUUUUCCCCAACAAACAACAUUGAAUUAUUCUUUACAUUUGAUAAGUUAAAUCUAUUCCAAAAGACCAAGGAAAUUGGAAAAUAACCAACACAGUACACGUAAAAAAAUUAUAUUAUCUAAGCUAUAGCAGUCGAUCAAAAAUAAAAGCAGACGUUUACAUAGAAGUAGGCCUGGGCAAUCGGUUUUAUCGGUUUGUUCGGUUCGGUUUAUUCGGUUUUUCGGGUUUUUCGGUUUUUAAAAUUUCUGCCGAAUUGAACCAAAUAAAAAUUCGGUUCGGUUCGGUCGGUACUCGGUUUGUUCGGUUCGGUUAUAGGCCAAAAAAUCAAUUCCGAAAUAAACCGAAAUUUUUUCCAAUUCGGUUAAUUCGAACCGAAUUAGACCAAAAUAAAGAUAAUGGGCUUUUAAUAAGCAAAAUUUUACGGUUACAAACGAGUAAAAUAAUGGGCCAUGACUAAUUACAGAGUUAAGCCCAAAUAAAACUAAAACCCAAGUUCAAAAAAAAAAUUAGGGUUGAUAGACUCGCCGCUACUCUCUUCCUCCGCUGUGACAGUGACGGCGACGAGAUGGCGGUGUCAUCAAACAAUGCGAUCUCUCCGAAUAAACCCUCAACGAAAGCUAUCAUACCAUCGUCAAAAUCACAUGCAGUAAGAAUCCAAUAUCUAAAAUUGAGAAAAUAGGAAAAGAAAAACAAAAUUGAAAAUCGAUUAGAUCUGAAGUUUUACAUGCCGUGUGUUUGGUGACGAGGAGGAGCGUAACGGCGACGCCAGCGAUAAACGGCCAAAACAUUUCGAAUCUGAACCACAGACUCGAUGUCGGAGAGAAUGAUUCAAAAUAGCCAUGGGUUAGGAUGAUAUGGCCAACAACGUUUCAAAUCUCUCUUGAAUAACACUUGCCAUGGAUUGAUGUCGAGGCUGAGAAAGAAGAAGAGAAGAAAAGAGAUGGAGAAGAAGAAGAAGAAGCUAUAAAGUUAAUGAAGGAAUGAGAAGAGAUCGAAGGAGAAAAGAAGAAAGGAGAUGGACAUGAAGAAGCUAUAGAAAAUAGAUCUAGGGUUUUUGUUUUUUAUAUGGGUGUCUAUUAACCGAUAAAACCGAUCGGUUAUCGUCUGUCGAACCGAACCGAACCGAGAACCGAAGUCUAAUUAUAAUUCUGCCGAUCGGUUUAGCCUUUCCUUCCUUAUCAGUGGCGAAAACCGAAAAAAUCGGUUUGUUCGGUUCGGUUAAUUCGGUUUAUUCCGAUUGCCCAGGCCUACAUAGAAGACUUGUUCGUGUUUGUUGUAAUUUUUUAAUACCAAAGCGCUGAUUAAGCAAGUCUUCCGGUAAACAUAAACUUGACGUAGUCAUAAAUAACUUACAUAAAAGUAUGCUCUAAUUUUACCUACGUCAUAACAGAUUUGCAAAAGAUGUUGUAUCUCUAUCUAAGAUAUAUUCCCUCCGUUUCAUUUUACUUGUCGUUUUAGAGUUAAAAUUUUGUUUCAUAAUAGUUGUCGUUUUAGGUUUUCGAUACAAAUGUUUGGUGAAAAUUCCAGUUUUAUCCCUACUGUUUUAAUGUUUCGGCCAAUGAAUUCUUUUAUAAAAUAUAUUAAUAAAGGGUAAAACAGAAAAUUUAAUGUUUUUCUUAAUUUGUGUGAGAAAACCUUAAACGACAACUAAAACAAAACGGAGGGAGUAUCUAGAAGACAAAGAUAUAAAUCUGCUAAAAUAUCUUUUAUAUAAGAUUAAUUUCUUUUUUUGGAAAAUGAAAUAUUUGUUUGGCUUCAUCUAUAUAAUGUUUGGAUGGCGGUUUUGUAGAUACUCACAAGUUGACUAAUAAUUUUAGUUAUCGUCAAAAUAAUAAGUUAUUAGAAAAAUGAAAAAUACUUGGUCUACCCUAGGGGGGUGAACAUUUAUAUUCACCCCUUUUAUUUUAUCCAAUCAGAAUCUGCCACCUAAUAAUAAUAAUUUUUUUUAACUAUAAAAUCUAAUUUGCCACUAAAAUGAAUGAAAUUAUGUAUCGAUUUGGAUUUAUUACAAAAGAUUAGGAUUUAGAUUUUAUGAUUAAACAAAUAUCGGUUUGGGUUUAUAAACGGAUUUAGAUUUUACAAUUAAACAAGGUUAAAUGUCGGUUUGGGUUUAGAAAGUACGAAUUAGGGUUUAGAUUUUUUACGAUUAAACGAGUUUAAAUGGCAGUUUGGGUUUACAAAGGAAAAUUAGGGUUUAGAUUUUUUACGAUUAAACGAGUUUAAAUGGCGGUUUGGGUUUACAAAAGAGAAUUAGGGUUUAGAUUUUGUAAUUAAACGAGAUUAUAUAUCGGUUUGAGGUUACAAAAGAGUGGUUAUGGAUUAGAUUUAAUAAUUAAAUGAGUUUAAUUUUUUAUUAUGUGGCGAAUUCUGAUUGGUUAAGAUAAAAGGGAUUCUCCCUAGGAGUGAACCCAAGUAUUGCUAAAAAAAAAAAGCGAAAAACAAGACAUCUUUUAAUUUUUUUUUGCCAUGAAGUUCGAACCUAGACUCUAGUAUUCGUGGACCCAAAAAUAGUCUUUAGUCUUUCGGAAAUACUCCUUUUCGCAAGUGAACUCAUACUAGGAUUCGUUUCUCUUACGGAAACCACUAGUUCAAGAACCAGUUUGGUGCAUUUUUAAAGAUGGCAUGACAACAGCUGCAAAUUACCGGACUUUGUCACCAUUCACAUAUAGUAUAAGCGAACACCGUAUAUUACUAUGUUUGAGAUGUUUAACUUUAAUUCACUCGUAGCACAACAGAUAAUUUUCGUUUCACUACUAAAAGAAAAAGUUUUAAAAUAUUUUAGAACUAUCGUAUAUUGACAAGUUUUAUUGAACUAAACAAUUCUUGCCGAAAAAACCUUGUUUAUCACUCAAAGUACUAAGAAAAAUAGCAUAUGUUUGUUAGUCAUUGAAAAUCAAUAGAAGCUUAACAAGCAUAAAUUUAUAUUAGUAGUCUUAUUAAGAUCCAUGUCAGCCAUUCCAUGUUAACUUUUUGAAUGUAACUAUGAAUUCUCUGAUUUGGGGAAAAUAUGGCUUAUUUGCCUUGUUAAUUAAACUACCAUUUGUUGCAGUGGAAAUAGUCGUGUCUGGUAUCUAGGAAACUUCUUGACUCUAGAAGCUGAUUUAAAGAUAACACUAUUAUAAAUCAAUACUAUGGGUAUGGUUUUGCGUAUAUAGUCAGGCAAAUCCAAUUUUAAUUAAACAUAGAUUUAAGUUAUCGAUAGACUUGUUAAACGUUUUUGAACUGCCACUUUGAAACAUGCGGCGAAUUACAAAUUAAUAGAAUAUCUUUGGACCACGUCAAAUAUGACAUGCGCUUUUGUCCUAUAAAUACUGAGCUCCAAUGCUUCACAAUUCACAAGCAACACACACAUUUAUAAAAGUCUUUAAAAAGCAUUAGCAUAACCUUUCGUUUGAAAAUGAGGUUUUCCAAGUCUCUCGUCCUGAUUACCUUAUCGGCUUUGGUCCACUUCAAGACUUCUGCGUGGCCAUUAGUGACCUCAAAAAUGGUGGUAAGUAUAAAACUCAAAUUCUUGAACUCUCAAUUAACUAAUUAUUAUUCUCCUUUAUUAUUUUGUAAUUUGGAAAUUGAAAUAAAAGGUUUUUCUAAUUAAUAUUUCUACUUGCAGUUUUUGUGAAUGGUAAGUUCUGCAAGUAUCCGAAGCAAGCGAAGGCAAAAGAUUUCUUCUACUCAGGCCUCAACCAGGCAGGGACCACUAAUAAUAGAGUCAAAUCCAACGUGACAACGGUCAAUGUCGACCAGAUUCCAGGGUUAAACACUUUGGGAAUAUCCUUGGUCCGCAUAGACUAUGCGCCUUAUGGACAAAACCCACCUCACACGCACCCGCGUGCUACUGAGAUCCUUGUUCUUGUCGAGGGAACUUUGUAUGUAGGUUUUGUCUCUUCCAAUCAAGACAAUAACCGUUUAUUCGCCAAAGUGCUGAACCCCGGCGACGUGUUCGUGUUUCCUAUUGGAAUGAUCUAUUUUCAAGUGAAUAUCGGAAAGACCCCGCAGUGGCCUUUGUUGGACUAAGUAGUCAAAACGCUGGUGUUAUCACGAUCGCAGAUACUGUGUUUGGAUCAACACCUCCGAUUAAUCCAGAGAUUCUGGCUCAAGCAUUUCAGUUAGAUGUGAAUGUUGUCAAGGACCUUGAAGCCAAGUUUAAAAACUAAAUCUAGUCAUUACGACACGAGGUUAAACUUCCGAUAUAUAAUAUUCAAUUUAUCCAAAUUUCAGCUCAAGCAGGAAUCCAAAAUCCAUCUAAGGAAUGUUAAACUUCCGAUACUUUUACACGAUCGAUCAAAUGAUUAUCUACAUUGCAGAAUGAUUUUUUUUCUUUCUAAGAAAC